rnacentral:lncRNA from 1 species
AAGGGUGCAUUCCUCCUUCAACACAAAAGUAACGAGGAGAUCCCCUGGAAAAAAUCAGAGGAAAACCCAAAAAUUCCCCCACCCCACGGCUCCUCUCUCAUCCCUUCACUCCUUAUUUUCUUCCUUAAUAGUUUUGGUAAAAAAUAAAAUUGGAACUCCCAUAGAUGAACUCUGUUUCCCAAAUAACCUUUUCCUUUGCGAGAAAGUAGCCAAAUUGAUAUAAUCACUAUAACCACGAAAUUUCACUUUUGUUUCUUGAAAGGUUAGUGUAUUUGCAAAGAUUUUCUAGCUCUAGAUCCGUAGAACUCUUUGUCUGAAUCCAGCAAUCAGGGACUCCACCCCCACCCUUUUCACAAGAGAAAACGAGCAAUAUCACUCUCCCUUUCACAGAAGAUAAUUCGAGCAGCAUCCCUAUCCUUCACCAAAAAAUCGAUCCAUAUAAGCUCGGCUUUGUGAUUGUUUGUUGCUGCUUCUACCGAAAAAUGCUCUGAUGGGUUUCAUUUUGAAAGAUUCGGCUGUAUUUUAAUUUUCGGGCGACGUUGUCCCAGUGGGUUUGGCAGUUGCUGCUGAGUCUUGCCCUGUUCACAACCAUUUAGAAGCUUUCCUUGCUUUAAUACUUAUGUCUUUUACCAUUAAUUUUAUUUUGUUUGACUUGCUGACGAGUAUUUGUUGGACGUCAAUGUUGCUAAUUAAAAAUUGAUUUGGAUAUGGAAUUUCAAUUGAUUAUAAGAAUUCAUUUGUUUGCUUAAGGAUUUACGCCCCUGGUUGGCACUUAAUUUGAUAGUUAAAUGUUGCUGAUUAAAUAUUGGAUUUGGUUUAUACUAGUAGUCAAGCUAGUUUUAGGUGAUUUGAGUAUGUACUGUGCAAAGUAUGGUACAGUUUUUUUUUUAAAAAUAUUUUUUAGAAGAAAUUAUGUUUUUAUUUCAACUAUUUGGCAAAUUUACAUCAUCUAUUGUUUUGGACUCUAGAACAGAUCUCAAAUUACAAUCAUUUUGAAACUCUACAACUGUUGUUGUAAACUAAUAUCCUAUUACAGAGAAAAAGUUGCUACAAUUGUGGAUACUCGCACAAAGGAUAGCUGUUAAUGUUUUGUAACAUGGGCGACCAUUUAGAUAGCUUUACGCUAGUGAAGUGCACUUGAAGUGUAAUCUCCUUUGCUCGAUCUUUGGCAUCUCUGCUUGAUUGUUGAAACCUUCUGUUGUUCCUUUCCAUCCAGAUGUUGUAAACUACUGCUGCAAAUACCACACCUAGGAUGAUUUUUUUGGGAUUUCUGCUGUUAACAUUAGCAGUUAACCAUUGGACUUCUGUUUCACAUGUGCCUGUCGUUCUUUGAUACUUCAACCAUUGUAACAUACCUUGCCACAGUGUUUUGGAG